UACGUAGGUGGCAAGCGUUAAUCGGAAUUACUGGGCGUAAAGCGUGCGCAGGCGGUUUUGUAAGUCUGACGUGAAAUCCCCGGGCUUAACCUGGGAAUGGCGUUGGAGACUGCAAGGCUGGAAUCUGGCAGAGGGGGGUAGAAUUCCACGUGUAGCAGUGAAAUGCGUAGAGAUGUGGAGGAACACCGAUGGCGAAGGCAGCCCCCUGGGCUAAGAUUGACGCUCAUGCACGAAAGCGUGGGGAGCAAACAGG
rnacentral:rRNA from 1 species